rnacentral:rRNA from 1 species
UACGUAGGGUGCAAGCGUUGUCCGGAAUUACUGGGCGUAAAGAGCUCGUAGGCGGUUUGUCGCGUCGUCUGUGAAAUUCUGCAACUCAAUUGCAGGCGUGCAGGCGAUACGGGCAGACUUGAGUACUACAGGGGAGACUGGAAUUCCUGGUGUAGCGGUGAAAUGCGCAGAUAUCAGGAGGAACACCGGUGGCGAAGGCGGGUCUCUGGGUAGUAACUGACGCUGAGGAGCGAAAGCGUGGGUAGCGAACAGG